GCUAAAGCGAUGAAAGGAACUAGUAGCAAGGUCGUUUCUCUUCAGAGAGUCGGUGGGUGGUGCAAACCGAUGGGAAACACUUGUGAAUCCAUCCUGGAGUAAAAUGCCGAACGCGCAAGCUAGUAAGCAUUUUCGGCUUUUCGCCGUUAUCGAUUCAAGCGGAAGACAGCCUCGUCUUCAAUUAGGGUGGCAACGCGGGAUUACUCUCGUCCCUUUU
rfam:Geobacillus sp. WCH70, complete genome.